GAUGAACGCUGGCGGCGUGCCUAAUACAUGCAAGUCGAGCGAACAGACGGAGGUGCUUGCACCUCCUGACGUUAGCGGCGGACGGGUGAGUAACGCGUGGGUAACCUACCUAUAAGACUGGGAUAACUUCGGGAAACCGGAGCUAAUACCGGAUAAUAUUUAGCUUCGCAUGAAGCAAUAGUGAAAGACGGUUUUGCUGUCACUUAUAGAUGGACCCGCGGUGUAUUAGCUAGUUGGUGAGGUAACGGCUCACCAAGGCAACGAUACAUAGCCGACCGGAGAGGGUGAUCGGCCACACUGGGACUGAGACACGGCCCAGACUCCUACGGGAGGCAGCAGUAGGGAAUCUUCCGCAAUGGACGAAAGUCUGACGGAGCAACGCCGCGUGAGUGAAGAAGGUUUUCGGAUCGUAAAACUCUGUUGUAAGGGAAGAACAAGUACGUUAGUAACUGAACGUACCUUGACGGUACCUUACCAGAAAGCCACGGCUAACUACGUGCCAGCCGCCGCAGUAACAC
rnacentral:rRNA from 1 species